GUGGCUAGUGCUCGCUCUACACCCUUUGUGACAUACCUAUAACUGUUGCUUCGGCGGGUAGGGUCUCCGUGACCCUCCCGGCCUCCCGCCCCCGGGCGGGUCGGCGCCCGCCGGAGGAUAACCAAACUCUGAUUUAACGACGUUUCUUCUGAGUGGUACAAGCAAAUAAUCAAAACUUUUAACAACGGAUCUCUUGGUUCUGGCAUCGAUGAAGAACGCAGCGAAAUGCGAUAAGUAAUGUGAAUUGCAGAAUUCAGUGAAUCAUCGAAUCUUUGAACGCACAUUGCGCCCGCCAGCAUUCUGGCGGGCAUGCCUGUUCGAGCGUCAUUUCAACCCUCAAGCUCUGCUUGGUGUUGGGGCCCUACAGCUGAUGUAGGCCCUCAAAGGUAGUGGCGGACCCUCCCGGAGCCUCCUUUGCGUAGUAACUUUACGUCUCGCACUGGGAUCCGGAGGGACUCUUGCCGUAAAACCCCCAAUUUUCCAAAGGUUGACCUCGGAUCAGGUAGGAAUACCCGCUGAACUUAAGCAUAUCAAUAAGCGGAGGAA
rnacentral:rRNA from 1 species